rnacentral:lncRNA from 1 species
AUGCCUAAAUAAAACAUCACAUAGUGUUAGAUGAACCAGUUUACCUAAACCAAAAGGGUUUUUUUUAAUGGAGGAGGCUUCAACUUAUUUCCUAACAAUUUACUUCUUCCUUUUCUUGGGUGGCUGCAGGGCUUCCUCAUCUUCAUCUUCUUCUUCCUCAUCUUCAUUUUCUUCUUCUUCAACAUCCUCUUCAUCCUCAUCCUCUCCAUCAUCAUCGUCGUCGUCAUCCUCGUCGUCAUCCUCAUCCUCAUCCUCAGGGUCUUCACCAUCUCCAUCUUCAUUGUCUUCGUCUUCUCCAUUUUGUUCUGCCCC